rnacentral:lncRNA from 1 species
GGUGUCCUUAGGCAGAACAGAAAGUGAGAAUCAGAGCAGUAUCUCAUUUCUGAAAACCUGGAUUGUAGCUUUCCCUGGGCUGACUGUCAAAGGAGGUGGUUUUAAAAAGCAAGCCAAACAGGUUUCCAUCCUUUAGGAAGACCCUGGAACGUGCCAGUUGAUUCUGACAAUUUCUCAUGAACAGAAACACCUAGGAAGGGAGAACUGGGCCCGCCUGGCAGGACGACUGAGCAAGUCCUUGGAAAACCAGAGAUAUUAGAGCGGUGAAUCGCGCUGGUCACGUUGGACACCUGCGCGUUAGGAGAUUCUGGAGCCAGAGGGAGAGACCCCAGAAACUCCCCGGUCGGCGACCCAGCCCGAGACGCCUGGGGUCCCAAGGGAAGCUGAACGCCCGGUGGGCUCCCGGGAUGGUUCUUCCGGUUCUUUGUGCCGCCUUCACCCAGUGAAGGAGCCUGUAUCCACCCUGCCCAGUCGCUGUUGGGCUGCUGCGGAGCUUCCGCUGCCAUCUUCGGAUCCUGUGUUCCGCCCGGGGCUCCACCAGGGCAGGGAUGGUGCAGAAUGGGGAAAUGGAGAGAGAACCUGAAAGAGCCCCAAACUCGAGGACCUAUUGCUCCCCAAGAAUAACAUCUUCCAGAACUAGACAGAAAACUAGGCGUCUGGGAACCCUGAAAUCCUUGGAGGAGUAGAUCAUCAUGACCCUCUGUGUUCCUUUUGGCAAAUGACUUGCUUCCAUUGUUUGUUUGUUCAAUUGUCUGUUUGUUAAAUAAAUAAAACCCUUUUCAUGUAUCUUUAAAAUUACA